rnacentral:rRNA from 1 species
GAUGAACGCUGGCGGCGUGCUUAACACAUGCAAGUGGAGCGACGAACCAGGGCUUGCCCUGGGGCAGAGCCGCGAACGGGUGAGUAACACGUGGGUAACGUGCCCCGAUGACUGGGACAACCCGGGGAAACCCGGGCUAAUACCGGAUGUGCCCCCUCACAUCAGUGAGGUGUGUAAAGGAAGCUUCGGCCUCCGCAUCGGGAUCGGCCCGCGGCCCAUUAGCUUGUUGGUGAGGUAACGGCUCACCAAGGCUGCGAUGGGUAGCUGGUCUGAGAGGACGAUCAGCCACACUGGGACUGAGACACGGCCCAGACUCCUACGGGAGGCAGCAGUGGGGAAUCUUGCGCAAUGCGCGAAAGCGUGACGCAGCAACGCCGCGUGGGUGAAGACGGCCUUCGGGUUGUAAACCCCUUUCAGUUGGGACGAAGGUCGGGCGGUUAACAGCCGUUCCGGCUGACGGUACCUUCACAAGAAGCCCCGGCUAACUACGUG